rnacentral:rRNA from 1 species
GUAGUUGAACCUUGGGCCUGGCUGGCCGGUCCGCCUCACCGCGUGUACUGGUCCGGCCGGGCCUUUCCCUCUGUGGAACCCCAUGCCCUUCACUGGGUGUGGCGGGGAAACAGGACUUUUACUGUGAAAAAAUUAGAGUGCUCCAGGCAGGCCUAUGCUCGAAUACAUUAGCAUGGAAUAAUAGAAUAGGACGUGUGGUUCUAUUUUGUUGGUUUCUAGGACCGCCGUAAUGAUUAAUAGGGACAGUCGGGGGCAUCAGUAUUCAAUUGUCAGAGGUGAAAUUCUUGGAUUUAUUGAAGACUAACUACUGCGAAAGCAUUUGCCAAGGAUGUUUUCAUUAAUCAGGAACGAAAGUUAGGGGAUCGAAGACGAUCAGAUACCGUCGUAGUCUUAACCAUAAACUAUGCCGACUAGGGAUCGGACGGUGUUAUUUUUUGACCCGUUCGGCACCUUACGAGAAAUCAAAGUGCUUGGGCUCCAGGGGGAGUAUGGUCGCAAGGCUGAAACUUAAAGAAAUUGACGGAAGGGCACCACCAGGGGUGGAGCCUGCGGCUUAAUUUGACUCAACACGGGGAAACUCACCAGGUCCAGACACAAUA